rnacentral:rRNA from 1 species
CAGCCGCCACGGUAAUACGUAUGGUGCAAGCGUUAAUCGGAAUUACUGGGCGUAAAGCGUGCGCAGGCGGUUAUAUAAGACAGAUGUGAAAUCCCCGGGCUCAACCUGGGAACUGCAUUUGUGACUGUAUAGCUAGAGUACGGCAGAGGGGGAUGGAAUUCCGCGUGUAGCAGUGAAAUGCGUAGAUAUGCGGAGGAACACCGAUGGCGAAGGCAAUCCCCUGGGCCUGUACUGACGCUCAUGCACGAAAGCGUGGGGAGCAAACAGGAUUAGAUACCCCCGUAGUCCCUGUCUCUUAUAC